rnacentral:rRNA from 1 species
AUUGAACGCUGGCGGCAGGCCUAACACAUGCAAGUCGAGCGGAUGAAGGGAGCUUGCUCCUGGAUUCAGCGGCGGACGGGUGAGUAAUGCCUAGGAAUCUGCCUGGUAGGGGGGGAUAACGUCCGGAAACGGGCGCUAAUACCGCAUACGUCCUGAGGGAGAAAGUGGGGGAUCUUCGGACCUCACGCUAUCAGAUGAGCCUAGGUCGGAUUAGCUAGUUGGUGGGGUAAAGGCCUACCAAGGCGACGAUCCGUAACUGGUCUGAGAGGAUGAUCAGUCACCUUGGAACUGAGACACGGUCCAGGCUCCUACGGGAGGCAGCAGUGGGGAAUAUUGGACAAUGGGCGAAAGCCUGGUCCAGCCAUGCCGCGUGUGUGAAGAAGGUCUUCGGAUUGUAAAGCACUUUAAGUUGGGAGGAAGGGCAGUAAGUUAAUACCUUGCUGUUUUGACGUUACCAACAGAAUAAGCACCGGCUAACUUCGUG